AUACGUAGGGUGCAAGCGUUAAUCGGAAUUACUGGGCGUAAAGCGUGCGCAGGCGGUUCGGAAAGAAGGAUGCGAAAUCCCAGGGCUCAACCUUGGAACUGCAUUCUUAACUACCGAACUAGAGUAUGUCAGAGGGGGGUAGAAUUCCGCGUGUAGCAGUGAAAUGCGUAGAUAUGCGGAGGAAUACCGAUGGCGAAGGCAGCCCCCUGGGAUAAUACUGACGCUCAUGCACGAAAGCGUGGGUAGCAAACAGGAUUAGAUACCCUGGUAGUCCACGCCCUAAACGAUGUCAACUAGCUGUUGGGCCCUUCGGGGCUUAGGAGCGUAGCUAACGCGUGAAGUUGACCGCCUGGGGAGUACGGUCGCAAGAUUAAAACUCAAAGGAAUUGACGGGG
rnacentral:rRNA from 1 species